AAUUAUUGACCCAAAUCCUUCACCCCUCACUGUACUAUUGGCCUUUGUUUUAUAACUUUGCAGUUACUCUUGCUAGACGUGGAAUGUACUUCCCUAUCCUUUGACCUUGUUUAUACUCAGCGUGUGACUUGAUUACACCAAUGGACUUUACUGCCCCUUCAACCUGGGCUUCAAAAGGUGAACACGUACAGCAGAUGUGAGAGCAACCACCAGCAAGGAACAAAACCUGCACUCAGCAGAACCCAGCCUAGAUCCGCUGACCAGCCAACCAACAUAGAGAUACAUUCAUGAGAAUAAAUAAUUGCUGUCUUAUAUCAGGAGAAAGUGCAUCCAGAACUGAUGUGAAUGCCGAGAUCUUGGUCUUUGAGCCUGAUGCUGUGAUUCCAUGAGACUUCUGCGGCUCUUUGGGGUGGAGCACCUAGGAGCAGCACCCAAGGAGGAAAGAUUCCAUUCCUCCCCACCCCAUCACACCUUACCUGUGGGUAAUUGUAGCAUUCCAGCAGUGUCCCCAUCUGAGCUGAAAUGGCCCAUGUGGUUCCUGCAAUAACUGCUACAGACCUGCUCUCUCUCACACAGGUGUAGUUAGGUAUCACAUUGCCUAGUCCAGGCAACCACAUGAGGGAACUCUCCAAAGUCCUUUGCUCACUGUGCAAUGCAUUGUAGAGAUCCCAUCCUAGGGAUACGUUGGGUAAAGAUAGGGGUUCUCUUUAUUGUCUCAGUGGCAAAAUCAAAGGCAAGAACAUACUGGUAGUGUGAUGAAAAAGCCCUGUAUGGAGGGCAUAAAGAUCCUUAGGAAAGGCUCAAACCAUGUGAUUUAGGAUUAUUUCAUAAUUGAAGAGAAAGGACACAAUAUU
rnacentral:lncRNA from 1 species